rnacentral:rRNA from 1 species
CCUACGGGGGGCAGCAGCUAAGAAUAUUCCGCAAUGGACGGAAGUCUGACGGAGCGACGCCGCGUGGAUGAAGAAGGCUGAAAAGUUGUAAAAUCCUUUUGUUGAUGAAGAAUAAGGGGAAGAGGGAAUGCUUCUCUGAUGACGGUAAUCGGCGAAUAAGCCCCGGCUAAUUACGUGCCAGCAGCCGCGGUAACACGUAAGGGGCGAGCGUUGUUCGGAAUUAUUGGGCGUAAAGGGCAUGUAGGCGGUUGUAUAAGCCUGAUGUGAAAUCCUGAGGCUUAACCUCAGAAUAGCAUUGGGUACUGUAUAGCUUGAAUUACGGAAGGGAAACUGGAAUUCCAAGUGUAGGGGUGGAAUCUGUAGAUAUUUGGAAGAACACCGGUGGCGAAGGCGGGUUUCUGGCCGAUAAUU